UCUUCUGGAAUUUUAAUUAGCAAGGGCAGCCUUGAAGGUACUCGGAUGAUCUUAACUUGUGGCUCUUUUUUUUCUUUUUGCUUGACUGCAGUAUCUUCCCAUUUCUUCUGCCAUAAUCAGAUAUCAUUCUAGAGAGCUUGUCAAAGAAAAUAUACCAUGAGCUAAUGAAAAGUAUUCAAAUGCCUAUAUACUGACCACAUUCGGACAUUUACCCUUGUAGAAAUUAGAGUCUCCUUACUGAAGCUUGGCAAUAACAUUACUAAAUGAAGAAAUUAGAGUCUCCUUACUGAAGCUUGGCAAUAACAUUACUAAAUGAAGGUACUCGGAUGAUCUUAACUUGUGGCUCUUUUUUUCUUUUUGCUUGACUGCAGUAUCUUCCCAUUUCUUCUGCCAUAAUCAGAUAUCAUUCUAGAGAGCUUGUCAAAGAAAAUAUACCAUGAGCUAAUGAAAAGUAUUCAAAUGCCUAUAUACUGACCACAUUCGGACAUUUACCCUUGUAGAAAUUAGAGUCUCCUUACUGAAGCUUGGCAAUAACAUUACUAAAUGAAGGUACUCGGAUGAUCUUAACUUGUGGCUCUUUUUUUCUUUUUGCUUGACUGCAGUAUCUUCCCAUUUCUUCUGCCAUAAUCAGAUAUCAUUCUAGAGAGCUUGUCAAAGAAAAUAUACCAUGAGCUAAUGAAAAGUAUUCAAAUGCCUAUAUACUGACCACAUUCGGACAUUUACCCUUGUAGAAAUUAGAGUCUCCUUACUGAAGCUUGGCAAUAACAUUACUAAAUGAAGGUACUCGGAUGAUCUUAACUUGUGGCUCUUUUUUUCUUUUUGCUUGACUGCAGUAUCUUCCCAUUUCUUCUGCCAUAAUCAGAUAUCAUUCUAGAGAGCUUGUCAAAGAAAAUAUACCAUGAGGUAAUGAAAAGUAUUCAGAUGCCUAUAUACUGACCACAUUCGGACAUUUACCCUUGUAGAAAUUAGAGUCUCCUUACUGAAGCUUGGCAAUAACAUUACUAAAUGAAGGUACUCGGAUGAUCUUAACUUGUGGCUCUUUUUUUCUUUUUGCUUGACUGCAGUAUCUUCCCAUUUCUUCUGCCAUAAUCAGAUAUCAUUCUAGAGAGCUUGUCAAAGAAAAUAUACCAUGAGCUAAUGAAAAGUAUUCAAAUGCCUAUAUACUGACCACAUUCGGACAUUUACCCUUGUAGAAAUUAGAGUCUCCUUACUGAAGCUUGGCAAUAACAUUACUAAAUGAAGGUACUCGGAUGAUCUUAACUUGUGGCUCUUUUUUUCUUUUUGCUUGACUGCAGUAUCUUCCCAUUUCUUCUGCCAUAAUCAGAUAUCAUUCUAGAGAGCUUGUCAAAGAAAAUAUACCAUGAGCUAAUGAAAAGUAUUCAAAUGCCUAUAUACUGACCACAUUCGGACAUUUACCCUUGUAGAAAUUAGAGUCUCCUUACUAAAGCUUGGCAAUAACAUUACUAAAUGAAGGUACUCGGAUGAUCUUAACUUGUGGCUCUUUUUUUCUUUUUGCUUGACUGCAGUAUCUUCCCAUUUCUUCUGCCAUAAUCAGAUAUCAUUCUAGAGAGCUUGUCAAAGAAAAUAUACCAUGAGCUAGUGAAAAGUAUUCAAAUGCCUAUAUACUGACCACAUUCGGACAUUUACCCUUGUAGAAAUUAGAGUCUGCUUACUGAAGCUUGGCAAUAACAUUACUAAAUGAAGGUACUCUGGAUGAUCUUAACUUGUGGCUCUUUUUUCUUUUUGCUUGACCGCAGUAUCUUCUCAUUUCUUCUGCCAUAAUCAAAGAUUAUUCUAGAGAGCUUGUCAAAGAAAUAAACCAUGGGCUAAUGGAAAGUAUAUGAAUGCCUAUAUACUGACCACAUCGGGACAUUUACCCUAAAAGAGAUUAGGGUCUGUUUACUUAAGCUUGGCACCAACAUUGCUAAAUUAGAAAUAAGACAAAUGGUGGACCUUGUUUGUCAUUCUCAAUCUUUUCUAUUACUAAUAAUUUUCGUUAAUUAUUAA